GGAAUUCCUGGGUGUAGCGGUGAAAUGCGUAGAUAUCNGGAGGAACGCCANUGGGCGAAGGCNANUUCCUGGGCNNAUACUGACGCUGAGGUGCGAAAGCGUGGGUAGCNAACGGGAUUAGAUACCCCGGUUAGUCCACGCCGUAAACGAUGUCUACUAGGUG
rnacentral:rRNA from 1 species